GGCCUAUGCCGCCCUAUGGCUAUGCCUACGGCCAGUGCAAGAAAUUUGAUUUCGCAAUCAAUCGCACAUGUGUGUUGUUUGUACACAAAGCUGACGCUGAGCACGUGUGUAAUUCUACCACACAUCUCGAACAGUCGAACUACACAUUUGCAAUGUGAACUUAAUUUAAACGAAGAAGAAUUUCCGAUGGCGACGAAGCGCGACAGCUUUUCAAAGCUCUCUAUUUUACAGAAGAGGAAAAUGCUGCAACAAAUGAAGAGGCCACCAGUCUACUACGAGCCGGAGUACGGCUCCAGGCCAGCGCCAGGCCCAGUCCCACUCUCAGUCUGAUUAUUGAGUCGAGUUUUGGCGAUUUGACAUCAGCUACGGGUUCGAAGAUUGCAGCAAGCAACGACGUUGUGUUCGAGCAGAUCCGUUGGUGCAGAGAGAGGUGGAACUUGAAGUGUUCAGUGAAAGCAGUGUUGUUCAAAGAGAGAAAGUACAUCCAUGUACACUACAACAUGAACCCCAUGCAAGUGAAGUUGAGAUUCAAGCAGGUGGCUACUCAACAGAAGUAGAUUUCCCUUUCAAAAAGUCGGAUUGUUACAUUUCUGAAGUCGAUAUUAACUUUAAUUCACCAGGUCAACCCUGAGGAAGAAAACGUCAGAUGGUAUGUUUUGCUGACAUAGAGACAGAGUCUGACUCCUCUCAUUGCUCUGAAGCUGUAUCAUGUACGUGUAGAAGGAACUUCAGCAAAAAAGGAUUGGUGACAUCUCGUCCAUCAAAUCACCAUCGUAAAGGACUUUGUUCUUUGUCUGUGAUGAUGUCAAUGGUGUGGCUUAGUGAAUUUGUCAAUAAGUUUGGAGAGAAACUGCCAACCAACAACAAAAUCCAUCUUCUUCAUGCCUUAUACAUGGAAAUGUGUAUCGGAUUAUGAAGGAGGAUGUAGAAGAGCAAGGAGGUUCUGUUUGUAGUCAGCAAUACUUCUUCCGCAAAUGGAGAAUGGAAAUGUCUCAUGUUACCAUUCCAAAGGUGAACCGGUUUUUGAAAUGCGACAUAUGCACCAAACUGAAAUCUUGCCUAGAGAAGACAACUGGCAGAGAAGAGAGACAAACUUUACUGCAAGAAAGAGAGUCACACCUUUUCCAGCAAAAGUCCAUCUAGGUACUAAGCAGAAAAGGCCUCAACAUCCAUUAUUAAAACUGGGAGAUACGGUUGCAGUCUACUUAAAAGAGUUCAGUAAUGAGUGGCCACGAGUGAGCAAAGUGUUAGAAAUGACUGGAGACAGUGUGAAGCUGCAUUAGUACUCAGGAUCAGAAACGUCCACGUGGAUAUCGCCUACCACAUCAGUUCGAGGACAGAAGGGUCAGCCGUACACGGGAGAAGUCUCUCUUCAAGAAGUCAUUUCUUUCCCCUACAGUCUCACUAAAACAAACAAAUUACCAUAGGAUAUCCAGCGUCACGUGAAGAAUACUUUGCAUGUUAGGUCUGUAUGAACAUACACUGUAUUCAUACCAAUUUGGAAUGAGUUUGUUUGUCCAGGACUCAAAAGCUGUAUGUCUAUAUGGAAGCCACUUGAAUUAUGUGUUUUUGUGAUAUUACAAUGUACCUAUAUUUUUCCACAUUGGAUAUGGGGAUAAUUUCCAGGGUGUAUCUUCACAUGAGUUUGAUCACCUACAUGUAUCUACAUUUAGAAGAGAUAAAUGCACAAUGAUUGAUAGAGAGUUGGUA
rnacentral:lncRNA from 1 species